UACGUAGGGUGCGAGCGUUAAUCGGAAUUACUGGGCGUAAAGCGUGCGCAGGCGGUUUUGUAAGCCAGAUGUUAAAUCCCCGGGCUUAACCUGGGAAUGGCAUUUGGGACUGCAAGGCUCGAGUGCGGCAGAGGGGGAUGGAAUUCCGCGUGUAGCAGUGAAAUGCGUAGAUAUGCGGAGGAACACCGAUGGCGAAGGCAAUCCCCUGGGCCUGCACUGACGCUCAUGCACGAAAGCGUGGGGAGCAAACAGG
rnacentral:rRNA from 1 species